ensembl:lncRNA
GUUGGAUAACAACACACGCAAAGGGAGAAUGAGUCUGUUCUCUGCUCAGAUAGAAGCUAUUCUUCUAUUUCUUUACUUCGUUUUUUGCUGCUCUAUUUAUCAGCUCCUUUGAAGAUACCAGUGAUCUCCAAACGCAGAGAUGGCGGAUGAAAGCGAGAAGAACUGCCGAAUGUCGCAUCCCGACCAAAAAUCUACCAGACGUCUAACUUUUCUUCCAGAAUUGAUUUUCCCUGUGGGAUUCUUCCUGACUUGGGUGACCCGACCUGCAGAGGAAAAGAUGCGUGUUCCAGAGCAGAUGAAGCUGAUGGAGAUCGGGUGGAGAUGGCGAGGUGGAGCGAUGUGAAACGGCAGCGUGCUGAAGGUUCAUAGAGAAUCACGUUUAUAGAGACAGCAGCAUGAUUAUAGGUAUAUUGUUUGAUUUGCAUUUUUUUAGAUGUUUAAAUUAUUUCAUGAUAAAAAAAAAGCCAAGAUUAGAGAGAAGAACGUCGUCUUUCCUUCACUAUCUGUACUUGACCUCUUUUGUCAGGCGAAGCUGGAGAGUGUUAGCAGGAAUUAGUCACCAUCGUUUUGGUUUUAUUAGAAGCCUAUUGGCUAAAACAGGAUCUUAUCAGGAGCUUAUUUAAUGAAGACAAUAUUUCAAUAGAUUCGAUGCUAAACAUGAUUCCCAUAAAAUCC